CGUCUAUAUACGUAUAGCAUAUCAAUAAGCGGAGGAAAAGAAACUAACUAGGAUUCCCUCAGUAACGGCGAGUGAAGCGGGAAGAGCUCAAAUUUGAAAUCUUCAAGGUUCUACCUUGACGAAUUGUAGUUUAAAGAAGUGUUUUCUGUUGGAGUUUUGGUAAAAGUUCUUUGGAAUAGGACAUCAUAGAGGGUGAGAAUCCCGUAUUUGACCAUUAUUUCCAACUUUGUGAUACACUUUCAAAGAGUCGGAUUGUUUGGGAAUGCAGUCCAAAAUGGGUGGUAAAUUUCAUCUAAAGCUAAAUACUGGCGAGAGACCGAUAGCGAACAAGUACCGUGAGGGAAAGAUGAAAAGAACUUUGAAAAGAGAGUUAAACAGUACGUGAAAUUGUCAAAAGGGAAGCGUUUGACACCAGUGUUGUUUUCUCGAAAAUCACUUAAAAAUGGCAGGAUUUUGUGUUGUAUUGACUUUAUCAGCUUUCUGCACUUUUUCCUGUCUUUUUUAAUGCACUUUUCGUUUAACAAGUCAACAUCAAUUUCUUUUGUUGUAAAAGGGUCAUUGGAAGGUGGCUUUCUUUUCGGAGAAAGUGUUUAUAGCCUUUGACUUCUGCAAUCGGAGAGAUUGAGGUCUGCAGCGUAGAUCCUUCGGGGUUAGAUGCAUUUGUGCUAAGUUAUAGCCUUUCAUAGACAACUUGUUGACUAUGAUCAGUCAUGUAGCUUACUCGCUUAUGUUAUUUUACCUACGCUUAGGAUGUUGACGAUCAGCUGAGCGCG
rnacentral:rRNA from 1 species